CCUACGGGGGGCAGCAGUGGGGAAUAUUGGACAAUGGGCGAAAGCCUGAUCCAGCCAUGCCGCGUGUGUGAAGAAGGCCUUCGGGUUGUAAAGCACUUUCAGUGGGGAAGAAAGCCUUGGGGCUAAUACCCUCGAGGAAGGACAUCACCCACAGAAGAAGCACCGGCUAACUCCGUGCCAGCAGCCGCGGUAAUACGGAGGGUGCGAGCGUUAAUCGGAAUUACUGGGCGUAAAGCGCGCGUAGGCGGUCUGAUAAGCCGGUUGUGAAAGCCCCGGGCUCAACCUGGGAACGGCAUCCGGAACGGUCAGGCUAGAGUGCAGGAGAGGAAGGUAGAAUUCCCGGUGUAGCGGUGAAAUGCGUAGAGAUCGGGAGGAAUACCAGUGGCGAAGGCGGCCUUCUGGACUGACACUGACGCUGAGGUGCGAAAGCGUGGGUAGCAAACAGGACUAGAUACCCCAGUAGUC
rnacentral:rRNA from 1 species